CCUAACACAUGCAAGUCGAACGGUAACAGGAAGAAGCUUGCUUCUUUGCUGACGAGUGGCGGACGGGUGAGUAAUGUCUGGGAAACUGCCUGAUGGAGGGGGAUAACUACUGGAAACGGUAGCUAAUACCGCAUAACGUCGCAAGACCAAAGAGGGGGACCUUCGGGCCUCUUGCCAUCGGAUGUGCCCAGAUGGGAUUAGCUAGUAGGUGGGGUAACGGCUCACCUAGGCGACGAUCCCUAGCUGGUCUGAGAGGAUGACCAGCCACACUGGAACUGAGACACGGUCCAGACUCCUACGGGAGGCAGCAGUGGGGAAUAUUGCACAAUGGGCGCAAGCCUGAUGCAGCCAUGCCGCGUGUAUGAAGAAGGCCUUCGGGUUGUAAAGUACUUUCAGCGGGGAGGAAGGGAGUAAAGUUAAUACCUUUGCUCAUUGACGUUACCCGCAGAAGAAGCACCGGCUAACUCCGUGCCAGCAGCCGCGGUAAUACGGAGGGUGCAAGCGUUAAUCGGAAUUACUGGGCG
rnacentral:rRNA from 1 species